rnacentral:snRNA from 1 species
UCGCUUUGGCUGUGCAGAUACUGAAAUUACAAUGAUACAGAAAAGACUGACAUGCCCCCCUGCACAAGGAUGGCACGCAAAUUGCAAAUUCAUUCAUGAAGCCU